AAUAGAUACCCUGGUAGUCCACGCCGUAAACGAUGAGUGCUAAGUGUUGGGGGGUUUCCGCCCCUCAGUGCUGCAGCUAACGCAUUAAGCACUCCGCCUGGGGAGUACGGUCGCAAGACUGAAACUCAAAGGAAUUGACGGGGGCCCGCACAAGCGGUGGAGCAUGUGGUUUAAUUCGAAGCAACGCGAAGAACCUUACCAGGUCUUGACAUCCCGGUGACCACUAUGGAGACAUAGUUUCCCCUUCGGGGGCAACGGUGACAGGUGGUGCAUGGUUGUCGUCAGCUCGUGUCGUGAGAUGUUGGGUUAAGUCCCGCAACGAGCGCAACCCUUAUUCUUAGUUGCCAUCAUUUAGUUGGGCACUCUAAGGAGACUGCCGGUGAUAAACCGGAGGAAGGUGGGGAUGACGUCAAAUCAUCAUGCCCCUUAUGACCUGGGCUACACACGUGCUACAAUGGACGGUACAGACGGUUGCCAACCCGCGAGGGGGAGCUAAUCCGAUAAAACCGUUCUCAGUUCGGAUUGUAGGCUGCAACUCGCCUAC
rnacentral:rRNA from 1 species